CACGUAGUUAGCCGGUGCUUAUUCUUUAGGUACCGUCAUCACUAGUCUUUAUUAAAAACUAGCUUUUCUUCCCUAACAAAAGUACUUUACAACCCUAAGGCCUUCUUCAUACACGCGGCAUGGCUGGAUCAGGGUUCCCCCCAUUGUCCAAAAUUCCCCACUGCUGCCUCCCGUAGGAGUCUGGGCCGUGUCUCAGUCCCAGUGUGGCGGAUCGUCCUCUCAGACCCGCUACGGAUCAUCGCCUUGGUGAGCCCAUUACCUCACCAACUAGCUAAUCCGACAUCGGCCGAUCAAAUAGCGUAAGGCCUUGCGGUCCCCUACUUUCCUCCUUAGAGCUUAUGCGGUAUUAGCCAAACUUUCGCUUGGUUAUCCCCCAUACUUGGCACGUUCCGAUGCUAUACUCACCCGUUCGCCACUCGCCGACAGAGAAGCAAGCUUCUCCUUCGCUGCCGUUCGACUUGCAUGUAGUAAAGCAUCGCCGCCAGCGUUCAAUCUGAGCCGAGGACUACAAACUCU
rnacentral:rRNA from 1 species